AAUGCGGUGCCUGAUAUAAAGGAUAGUUUUGAUAGAACUAAUAAUGUGGCUCCCCACCCGCAUUA
rnacentral:tRNA from 1 species